CCUACGGGUGGCAGCAGUGGGGAAUAUUGGACAAUGGGGGGAACCCUGAUCCAGCCAUGCCGCGUGUGUGAAGAAGGCCCUCGGGUUGUAAAGCACUUUCAGUGAGGAAGAACGCCUGGUGGUUAAUACCCAUCAGGAAAGACAUCACUCACAGAAGAAGCACCGGCUAACUCCGUGCCAGCAGCCGCGGUAAUACGGAGGGUGCGAGCGUUAAUCGGAAUUACUGGGCGUAAAGCGCGCGUAGGUGGCUUGAUAAGCCGGUUGUGAAAGCCCCGGGCUCAACCUGGGAACGGCAUCCGGAACUGUCAAGCUAGAGUGCAGGAGAGGAAGGUAGAAUUCCCGGUGUAGCGAUGAAAUGCGUAGAGAUCGGGAGGAAUACCAGUGGCGAAGGCGGCCUUCUGGACUGACACUGACACUGAGGUGCGAAAGCGUGGGUAGCAAACAGGAUUAGAUACCCUUGUAGUC
rnacentral:rRNA from 1 species